UACAGAGGUCUCAAGCGUUGUUCGGAUUCAUUGGGCGUAAAGGGUGCGUAGGCGGCCGAUCAAGUCGGGGGUGAAAGCCUGUGGCUUAACCACAGAAUGGCCUUCGAUACUGUUUGGCUUGAGACCGGAAGAGGUUAGUGGAACUGCGAGUGUAGAGGUGAAAUUCGUAGAUAUUCGCAAGAACACCAGUGGCGAAGGCGGCUAACUGGUCCGGUUCUGACGCUGAGGCGCGAAAGCGUGGGGAGCAAACAGG
rnacentral:rRNA from 1 species